rnacentral:rRNA from 1 species
AUUGAACGCUGGCGGCAUGCUUUACACAUGCAAGUCGAACGGUAACAGGCCGCAAGGUGCUGACGAGUGGCGAACGGGUGAGUAAUGCAUCGGAACGUGCCCAGUCGUGGGGGAUAACGCAGCGAAAGCUGCGCUAAUACCGCAUACGAUCUAUGGAUGAAAGCGGGGGACCGUAAGGCCUCGCGCGAUUGGAGCGGCCGAUGUCAGAUUAGGUAGUUGGUGGGGUAAAGGCUCACCAAGCCAACGAUCUGUAGCUGGUCUGAGAGGACGACCAGCCACACUGGGACUGAGACACGGCCCAGAGUCCUACGGGAGGCAGCAGUGGGGAAUUUUGGACAAUGGGCGCAAGCCUGAUCCAGCAAUGCCGCGUGCAGGAAGAAGGCCUUCGGGUUGUAAACUGCUUUUGUACGGAACGAAACGGUCCUGGUUAAUACCUGGGGCUAAUGACGGUACCGUAAGAAUAAGCACCGGCUAACUACGUGCCAGCAGCCGCCGUAACAC